ACAGGAGAAAUUUAAGCGGCUCACGUUACACCGAAUAAAAUGGGAUGAGCAGAAAGGAGAUGCGGGCCUUCAACGAUGUGCAGGCCAGUGAGCCCCUGUACAGCCCGAAGAUGAUCCCCCCACUUGCCUGGUGACCGGAGAGCUCAAGGAAGACUGCAGCCUGGUGCUUUCUUGCCCACAGUUUGGCUGCUUCGGGUCCAAGUCUCUCGGCAUGGAAGAGGCAUUGCAGAGGACACGUCGGUGCCCAUUUCUAUGGAAACUGCCUUCAGAAAAAGAGGGGGGCUCGCUGCAGAUUUCUACAGACUUCUCCGCAUCAGAGACAUUUCUUUUUUUUCCACAGGGAUACUCCGUGGUUGCUAAACCUGAGUGCUAGAAUCCGAGGGGUGAGGAGGCACGCAGCAACUGCCCUGGCUUUCCCCACUUUUUAUGGCCUUUCCGAGAAGUCCUUUAUUUCAGGGAGGUGUUACCAAGUCUGCAGGUGGCUCAGGGGCUGCCUGGUGCCCCAAAGGAAAGGUGGUGUGACAAGGUCCUUUUGCCCCAAAAGGAGCUGAUUUGCUCCCUCUUCCGCCUCCGGGUCUCCAGGCGUCCUUUCCGGUAGUCUUUCGUUCCAGUUCCCCGUUCUCUUGGGAAAACAGAUUCCUAAAAGAAGUGAUCCGCGCAGGCAGGAGGGUGGUUGAAGCCUUCUCUCUAGAGCUGAAUGGCCGCAAAAGCAGAGAAGUCUCCUCUUCACCCUGCUCAGCAGAAGCUCUGGCGCCCGUUCUACCUCAGCUUCUGCUCUGCUGUCUCUUGGUCAGAUAUGUGGGAGCAGAGUAGCUUGUAUUUAUGUUCUGGUUACUUGAUUCGUUAGGUGGCUCUCUCAGAAUGCCUUGAGUUUGAGGCAAGGGGAACCCCAUUCUUCUUAUCCUCAGGCAGUGACCCUGAGAUGGAUGUGGAGUAGAAGAGUG